GACGAACGCUGGCGGCGUGCUUAACACAUGCAAGUCGAACGGAAAGGCCCUGCUUUUGUGGGGUGCUCGAGUGGCGCACGGGUGUGUAACACGUGAGUAACCUGCCCUUGACUUUGGGAUAACUUCAGGAAACUGGGGCUAAUACCGGAUAGGAGCUCCUGCUGCAUGGUGGGGGUUGGAAAGUUUCGGCGGUUGGGUAUGGACUCGCGGCUUAUCAGCUUGUUGGUGGGGUAGUGGCUUACCAAGGCUUUGACGGGUAGCCGGCCUGAGAGGGUGACCGGCCACAUGGGGACUGAGAUACGGCCCAGACGCCUACGGGAGGCAGCAGGGGGGAAUAUUGCACAAUGGGCGGAAGCCUGAUGCAGCAACGCCGCGUGCGGGAUGACGGCCUUCGGGUUGUAAACCGCUUUGGCCUGUGACGAAGCGUGAGUGACGGUAAUGGGUAAAGAAGCAACGGCUAACUACGUG
rnacentral:rRNA from 1 species